GACGAACGCUGGCGGCGUGCUUAACACAUGCAAGUCGAGCGGUAAGGCCCUUUCGGGGGUACACGAGCGGCGAACGGGUGAGUAACACGUGGGUGACCUGCCUCUAGCUCUGGGAUAAGCCUGGGAAGCUGGGUCUAAUACCGGAUAUGACCUCGCGGUGCAUGUUGCGGGGUGGAAAGCCUUGUGCGGCUAGGGAUGGGCCCGCGGCCUAUCAGCUUGUUGGUGGGGUGANGGCCUACCAAGGCGACGACGGGUAGCCGGCCUGAGAGGGCGACCGGCCACACUGGGACUGAGACACGGCCCAGACUCCUACGGGAGGCAGCAGUGGGGAAUCUUGCGCAAUGGGCGAAAGCCUGACGCAGCGACGCCGCGUGAGGGAUGACGGCCUGGUGUAA
rnacentral:rRNA from 1 species